rnacentral:lncRNA from 10 species
AGAUGACUUUGACUUUGGUACGAUGGGUCAUGUCAUUAGAGGAACUGUAGUGAUGAAAGAUGGUAAAGUGAUUUUCCCAGCUCCCACACCGAAAAAUAUUCCUCAAGGUGCCCCAGUAAAACAGAAGACAGUGGCUGAGCUGGAAGCUGAAAAAGCAGCUACCAUUACACCCUUCAGGAAGACAAUGUCAACGGCUUCUGCAUAUACAGCAGGUGAGGAUACCAUUUACCAGGGUUUAGUCUUGAUUGUUUGAUUUUGCAAGUUAUAUAUAUAUAUAUCUAUAGAUAUAUGUGUAGCUAUAUAUACGUAUAUAUAGAUAUAUAUACACAUAUAUAUCUACACAUCUAUCUAUCUAUCUCUCUCUCUC